ACUUGAGGGAAAUCCUCUCUCGCUCUCUCUCUCUAUCUAAACCCUAAUCUCUCUCAACCGAUCUCUCUCUAAGCCCUAAUCUCUCUCAAUCGAUCAAUUACAACGAUCUGAAAUUAUUUGAAUUUCUAGUCCUAAUCUCUCUCAACCGAUCGAUUGCAACGAUCUGAAUUUCUGGUGCGAAGCAGAGGUCUUGCAGUGCCUCCUCGAAGCUUCUCACUGUAACGAUCUAAAAACUACGUUUGAUUGCAUCUCCGAUCUGUUCAUCGAUGUCAACUUCGUGGGUGCUGUGUGCUUGAAGGUUUGAAAGGCUCUUACAUCUGGGAUUGCAGGCUAUACUGCAGCCUCUUUCUAUUGCCAACUGGAAGGAAUAAAUUGGGUGAGAAAUUUGUUAUUGAUUGGAAGCCUAUUUUGUGGACCUCUGUUUCUCACAUUCUACUUCCUCAACACUGUUGCAAUUUUUUACAGUGCCACAACAACACUGCCAUUUGGUACCAUUGUGGUGAUAGUUCUCAUAUGGACUCUUGUCACAUCACCUUUGCUAGUAUUGGGUGGUAUCACAGGAAAGAAUAGCAAAGCUGAGUUUCAAGCUCCUGUUCACACAACAAAAUAUCCUAGAGAGAUCCCGUCAUUGCCUUGGUAUCAUGGAGCACUUCCUCAGAUGGCAAUGGCUGGGUUUAUACCUUUCAGUGCAAUCUAUAUAAAGUUUUAAACAAGUUAUCCGUGAGUUGAAUUUUAACACAUGAUGGGUAACACAUGUAUUCUUGCAAAAUACAAAUUAAUGAUGGUGUUUUCAGGCUUGUUUCUUUUGGUUUGGAAACAAACUGUUGCAUCUGGGAUUUAGCAGAUGGUAGGGUUAAUAGAGAAAAAGCAGGGAAAGGAAGACCACUUAACAAAAAGCAACGAGAGGGUAGUUGAACACACCCUUCGAUUCCUUAUGCUUAGUCUGGUUAUAUUUUGAAAUUUGAACAUUUACUCAUACAUCUUUGUACAAAACCAUAAAAGCAUCUUUGUACAAAGCCAUAAAAGAGCUCCCUAUUACAUUGUAGUGGAUAGAUUUAUUACCACAAUAAGUAGGACUAUCUUCAUUUUUCAUAUUUGGUUCUCCCUUUUAUCUUUCUAAGUAUGACUAUUGACAAUUGUGGUUUAUGUUAUGUAUUUUUGUAAAUUGCCUCUUUUCCGAUUGAUAAUUUGUUGUUACACAAUGAAGAGCAGAGGAAAAAUAAUAGGUAUGAAGAAUUUUUUCACUGCUUAAUCAGUAAUCCUUUUUUUGGUUUAAGAUCUAAUAUGAUGAUCUUUUUCUUUAUUUAUGAGAAUUUGUAACAGAAAUGACAAAGGAUGAUGCUUUUCCGGUGGAGAUAUAUUGAGCAUAAUAGCUUUGCUGGGUAGUGCGGAUCUUGUAAGUACUGAACACUAACCAUUCGACCAUGAAUCUAGCUUUGCAGUAAGGUAAUGUUUUGUAUUUCAUAUAGUACUGCUUGUUUUCCCUAAAUACAUAGUAAAAUUACAACAACCAUAGACAUAGCUCUAUUAUGAGUGAACCACAUAAAUAUUUGUGUUCUUGUGUGCUUAAUUUCCUUUCUUGUGUUAUUGUUGUUUGUGUUUUGCCUCUCACCGAUUCUGGUUAGGCAUAUCGAUUCCUGACAAGUUCAUGUGUUUGCAAAUCUAUGGAUGGUGCAAGUUUAAUUCCUCUUGUUCAGUAAAACCAGUCAUCUUGUGCACAAGAUGAACAUGACAUCCUACUAUGCAAGGCAAGGAUGUGGGACGAGUCUUCCCAGUAUGGAACAUCGAUGACGCAAGAGGAAAUAUCAAGAUA